GAUUUACUGGGUUUAAAGGGUGUGUAGGCGGAUAUUUAAGUCAGAGGUGAAAUCUCCGGGCUCAACCCGGAAACUGCCUUUGAUACUAUUUAUCUUGAAUUUCGUUGAGGUUGGCGGAAUAUAUCAUGUAGCGGUGAAAUGCAUAGAUAUGAUAUAGAACACCGAUUGCGUAGGCAGCUGGCUGAACGACGAUUGACGCUGAGGCACGAAAGCGUGGGUAGCGAACAGGAUUAGAUACCCUGGUAGUCCACGCCCUAAACGAUGAUUACUCGACAUACGCGAUAUACAGUGUGUGUCUGAGCGAAAGCAUUAAGUAAUCCACCUGGGAAGUACGUCCGCAAGGAUGAAACUCAGAGGAAUUGACGGGGGUCCGCACAAGCGGUGGAGUAUGUGGUUUAAUUCGAUGAUACGCGAGGAACCUUACCUGGGCUAGAAUGCUAUUUGACCGUCAGUGAAAGCUGAUUUUGUAGCAAUACACAGAUAGUAAGGUGCUGCAUGGCCGUCGUCAGCUCGUGCCGUGAGGUGUUGGGUUAAGUCCCGCAACGAGCGCAACCCCCAUCUUCAGUUGCCAGCACGUAAUGGUGGGAACUCUGAAGAAACUGCCGUCGCAAGACGUGAGGAAGGAGGGGAUGAUGUCAAGUCAUCAUGGCCUUUAUGCCCAGGGCUACACACGUACUACAAUGGGGAGGACAAAGGGCAGCGACCUGGUAACAGGAAGCUAAUCUCGAAAACCUCUUCUCAGUUCAGAUUGAGGUCUGCAACUCGACCUCAUGAAGCUGGAAUCGCUAGUAAUCGCGCAUCAGCAAUGGCGCGGUGAAUACGUUCCCGGACCUUGUACACACCGCCCGUCAAGCCAUGGGAGCUGGGUGUACCUAAAGUCGGUAACCGCAAGGAGCCGCCUAGGGUAAAACUAGUAACUGGGGCUAAGUCGUAACAAGGUAACCAAUCUAGAUGCAU
rnacentral:rRNA from 1 species